rnacentral:rRNA from 1 species
CCUACGGGUGGCAGCAGUCGAGAAUCAUUCACAAUGGGGGAAACCCUGAUGGUGCGACGCCGCGUGGGGGAAUGAAGGUCUUCGGAUUGUAAACCCCUGUCAUGUGGGAGCAAAUUAAAAAGAUAGUACCACAAGAGGAAGAGACGGCUAACUCUGUGCCAGCAGCCACGGUAAUACAGAGGUCUCAAGCGUUGUUCGGAAUCACUGGGCGUAAAGCGUGCGGAGGCUGUUUCGUAAGUCGUGUGUGAAAGGGGCGGGCUCAACCCGCGGACGGCAGAUGAUACUGCGAGACUAGAGUAAUGGAGGGGGAGCCGGAAUUCGCGGUGUAGCAGUGAAAUGCGUAGAUAUCGAGAGGAACACUCGUGGCGAAGGCGGGUUCCUGGACAUUAACUGACGCUGAGGCACGAAGGCCAGGGGAGCGAAAGGGAUUAGAUACCCGGGUAGUC